AGAAGAGAGGAAGGGAGGAGGGGGGAAGGAAGGAGAAUUCUUAUGCCCAACCCAAAGAGGUACCCUGAUGCCUACGAGCUGGCUGUGGCCAAUCCUGAUGAGGGUUGGACAUCGGAGUGGUCCAGCACUUGAGAAGCUGCUGGUGGUGACCUCAACAGGGAAGUCCUUCCUUUUGAAGUGAGACGUUGCUGUUUUCCUUCCAACCACCUGUGAAGGCAGAAACUCACAGAGGCUGAGGUCAGGAGCACCUGCCGGCCACGCUCCACAGAGGCACGCGGUACCCAGCUGCAGAGCAGCCCACGGUGGCAUCCUGUCAAGAUUUAUAAAGUGGUUCACCUCCAGGACCAUGUCGGAUGAAUGAAAACAUUUCACUAGACAUAUUGACUCAGGAUGAUGUGUGUAUUCGCAAAUUCAUCCAACAGUCAAUGUCAUAGCCAUGUGAAGUUGUGAAUGAGGUCAAUGGCUUUUUUUUUUUUCCUUGCAAAAAUGUGUACUUCAUUGAAAUCUAUAUUGGUUCAAACUCAAGCAGCCAUCAGCGGCAGAACUGUGGUUGAUGUGGAAGCGUCUGAUGCUGAGACCCAAGUGAACACUCCUACCCAGACAGUCAGGAGCCUGAGCUUCCCUACCUGGAACUACGGUGUCUCCAUCUUUAUCGGCCUCUCUCCUCAGAGACAGAGAGUACUGAUGUGAUUGCCCUCGCUGGCCAGAAUGUCUCCACAGGAGGUGCCAGCCACCCUGGCCCUCAAUAGACAGCAGCUUAGCAGGCAAUAAGAAACCAGCACUUCAAGAUGUGUUCCUCAGUAGCUGGGUCACGCAUGACCAGGUGCUCUGGGGUGAUGGCAUGUCACAUGUGGCAUGCACUGAGAGCCUGGGUCUAAAUGCCUGCUCAACAGUUUGCAGCUUCUUGCCAUCAAGGCAACAAAUGUAGCUACAAGGCAGCCCUUCCUUUCUUUAGGGCUGUGUGGAAGACGCCACCCAGGUUAGUAAGAGUCUUGCUGCAUCCCCGCAGGAAGAAUUACUCAGUCUUACAUUUUGAAAGUAUCCGAUUUUAAAAACAUUGUGCUUCCUUGGUAUGAACUGGGGAUCAGUGUCAGGACCCCCUGCAGACACCCAAAUCCACAGAUGCUCAAGUGCCUUAUACAGAAGGGUAUCAUGUUUGCAUAGAACCUACAUCCUCCCUCCUAAUGGCUUAAAUCAUCUAGGAUUACUUGUAAUACCCAAUACAAGGUACAUGCUGUGUAAAUAACUUAUCCUGUAUUGUUUAGAGAAUCAUGACAAGAAAAAAAAAAUAAGAUGGCAACUGUUCAGUACAGACGCAGUAAUUCUAGACGUAACUACAUAAUACAGGAGGGACACAUGAGAUGAACAAGGCUCCAACAUCGAGUGCUGGGGACAGACUGGACACCUCUGAAAUAUUGGAGGUCACAGAAGGACAUGCCCACUCGUGACUCCAUCUACACAGAUCCAGAGAAGUGCUCGGGGCACAGAAAAUUCAAGUUCUGUUUUUGGAAACUUCUGGAAUUAUUUUUUCCCCAGAGCAUUUUCUAUCUGAGGUGGUUGAGUGUGCAGGUGUGGACCUGCAGACCCAGGGCUGAGUGUGUCCCACAGGGUGUUGAAGGACACGGGCUGGGGCCUUGGAGCCUGGAGGUGAGCCCUGGGUCUUCAGGCUGUGCCUCAGCCUCUCUGCACCUCCGUUCCCACCCCUGGAAGACAGCAUCAUGCAGGGUUACCAUGGGAAUGAAGGGGACACUGGAUGUGAAGGCACAUAGAGCCAUUGAGACGUUCAGCCACGUUGGCCUUCCUGUGUGACAUAUGCUUUCGUUGACAAAGUCUGCUCUAGUCCAAAGCCCUGCACCUCAAAGAAAGGGAAGUUAUUGCAAAUAUUGGUUUGAUGGGCUCUUCUUCAUUUUUUAGUGACCAAAGGUCCUGUCUACAUCUUUUGAGGGAUGGGGCUGCUGACAAUCUUUCCAGAUGACUCCAGCUACCAUGACCCCCUCCGCCCAGGCAGCCACACGUCAGGAACCUGCUCUGGGGUCUUUAUUCCUGUCGCUGCGGGUACCUCCUUUCAUAGGACAAUGACUAGCGAACCUCCAAAAGAGCUCCGUUUGUAUUUCUUGCCUUCCCCAGCCCCCCAGAGUUCAGGGUUGGGGUGUGUGUGUGGAGCGGGUAGUGAGGGCUUCAAAGUGCAAACAAGAGAACGGAAAGUUAAAAAGUCAGAACGAGGAGCGCUUGUUUUGCAGACUAGGUGGAAGGUUUUUCUCUUGGUUUUCCUGAGCAGUGGGGACACCUCCAUUGCUGGAGGCAGAGGUUUCCUGCUCCCUUGUCCCCUCUGCCUCUGGUUAUAUCCAUGACAGUUUCCAAGCACCCUGGGGCUGAUGCCCAAUCUCACCAGGAUCUUCAGCUGUGAUUUGGUUUCCGUGAAUGCAGA